rnacentral:tRNA from 1 species
GGGGCAGUAGCUCAGCCUGGGUAUUGAAGCAGGCUUAGCCGGGCUUUCCUUCAGGAAAGAGCACACGGCUGAAGACCGUGGAGUCAGGAGUUCAAAUCUCCUCUGCCCCA